UUAAACUAUUAAAUUCACCUUAUCAGAUUUUCUUCUUAAGUUCUAAGUCAACUUGAAAAUUUAUAGAAUCUGCUGGUAAGCCAGCAAUGCCUUAAAAUUUCAGAAACUCUGGUAAUUGGUCUAGUAUAAACAUAUCCUAAGAGCAGAAGUAGAGAACUUCAACAUUCUUCUGAUUUCACCAUGGACUUUUUUUUGGAGGACAUUCAUAAAUGCAGCAUAAUGCAGGUUUUAACUAUGGCUUAAAUUUAUUUUAUUUAAAUUUCAUUGAACUUUAAUUUUGAUGACCCUAUAAGUUUUAAAUCUUAUUGUUAAUCUUCAGAGUGGAUAAAUUCAAGUGACCAUAAAUAGGGGUAUUUUUUUUAUUAUAUCAAGGUGUACUAAUGCUAUCAUAUAAAGAAGACAGAUGCUUUGAACAACCUGCCUUAAAUUAUAUUUCCAACACAAUUAAAGAAGUAUUUUUUUACCUGUGUGUAAUCACAAACUGAAA